GGCUCAAUGGUCUAGUCGUAUGAUUCCUGCUUCGGGCUAAUCCCCGCCGUCUUCGCGGUUCAAAUGCAGGAGGUCCCGGGUUCAAUUCCCGGUUGAGCCC